rnacentral:rRNA from 1 species
AUUGAACGCUGGCGGAAUGCUUUACACAUGCAAGUCGAACGGCAGCACGGACUUCGGUCUGGUGGCGAGUGGCGAACGGGUGAGUAAUACAUCGGAACGCGUCCUGUAAUGGGGGAUAACCUGGCGAAAGCCAGGCUAAUACCGCAUACGUCCUGAGGGAGAAAGCGGGGGAUCGCAAGACCUCGCGUUAUAGGAGCGGCCGAUGUCGGAUUAGCUAGUUGGUGGGGUAAAGGCCUACCAAGGCGACGAUCUGUAGCGGGUCUGAGAGGACGGCCCGCCACACUGGGACUGAGACACGGCCCAGACUCCUACGGGAGGCAGCAGUGGGGAAUUUUGGACAAUGGGGGCAACCCUGAUCCAGCCAUUCCGCGUGAGUGAAGAAGGCCUCGGUUGUAAGUAC